GAUUAUGUCAAGACUGAUAAGAGUUUUUAUAUCUGUUUGCAGAGUUCAAGAUUUCAACAUUUUAAGAUAAUCUGAAAAAAAUUGGAAUGUGCCCCCAGCUGCCAAUACUCUCUCAACACUGUUUAUCAAAGGAACCAAUAUGGAAGGAAAAACAUUGCUUUGAAGGGAAGAUGGAUGGAUCCCCUAGUAAACUACAGCUUGAGGUGCAAUUUCCUAAAGUUCAAAUGCCUGAAAAAGGAAACGAAAGAAAGAAACUCAACUCUUGAGACAGCUUCAAUGCUAGCUUUGAUCUCAAUUAUAGAGUUAUUUAUGAAAAGUGCAUUUUUACAACUAAAAAUAAAUUAGGAUCAAAAGCUUCUAGAGGCUAUACUAUGGAGUGCUUAAUAAAAAGUUGAGUAAAGAGUAA